rnacentral:rRNA from 1 species
UACGUAGGGGGCAAGCGUUGUCCGGAUUUAUUGGGCGUAAAGAGCUUGUAGGCGGUUUGUCGCGUCUGCUGUGAAAUUUCGGGGCUCAACCCCGAACUUGCAGUGGGUACGGGCAGACUAGAGUGUGGUAGAGGAGACUGGAAUUCCUGGUGUAGCGGUGAAAUGCGCAGAUAUCAGGAGGAACACCGAUGGCGAAGGCAGGUCUCUGGGCCACUACUGACGCUGAGAAGCGAAAGCAUGGGGAGCGAACAGG